UUGCAUUGCAUUUAUCCAAUUUACAUCUUUUUCAGCUUCUUCAUAAUUCUUAGGUUCUAUUUGUGAAACAAAAGCAAGAUAGUCAUUUAUAUUUCUAAGAGAGGAUCGAGUUCUUACCCCUUGAGAUGAAUCACCAAUGAUUAAGUCUUUAGGAUGCCCAUAUGCGUACCUCCAUCCCUUUUGUAAGUCUUGAGACUUGAGAGUGUGGUGGUACAUGAUCGUCCUCUUUAUCAUGAUUUGGUACGUCAUUAAGAUUCAAUUUUUCCAACUCAAGAAUUCCUACAUCAUCAUCAGAAGUAUUUUCUCUCCUAGGAGACUCGUUAUCAGACUCAUCAAAAAUGAUAUGAAUUGACUCUUCAACUACAAGUGUUCUUUUGUUGAAUACUCUGUAUGCCCUGCUAGAUGUAGAGUAUCCUAAAAAGAU
rnacentral:lncRNA from 1 species